AUACGAAAUUUUAAAAAUGCUUUGAUUUUCAUUUUAUAUUUAGAUUAACAAAAAAGUAAAAUCAGUAAGAGACAGAAACGAAAAAAGGUCAGUUUUUUCAUUUUCUGAGACCGGAAGUGGUCAUCAGCAAGUGUGGAGCCAAACAGAGUACGGUGCAUAGACUGGAUUUUUUUUUUUUUUCGUUAGUUUUCAUGGUCAAAAUUAGAGAUCAGGUGGCCGAUCUUAAAAUAAAUCAAUAUUGAUUUUUUUAUAGAGCGUUAAAGUUUUGCGAAGCCAGGGGGCGGGGCUACUUGAUUGACAGUCUGGUCUGGAAUGGUUGACAGGUCCGACGGAGGAGGCAGCAGAGACUCUGCUCUCCUCGUUUGUAUUAAUUCUGAUAUAAUAACUGUUGGUUUAUUUAUCGGUGCAGCAGCAGAACAUUUUCCACAGACAGUUUUCCUGCCCGUUGGCUUGUUUUAACCAGUUUUCUGCCUCCAGUUGAUUCUACCAGCAGACACUGAAAGGACUCUGAUAGUUCGGUGUCUCAUGUUCACUGUGAGGAUCUUCUGAGUGAAGCGACCAGCAGAAAAAACCUCAUCUGGAUGUGAAGGAGACUGAAUGGACGACAUCCUCAGUGAACCACUUCCUGUUUAGCUUUCACUUACAGAAGUUCUUCUGGACCAGCUCAGCUUCCCCUCAGAAGAAGUGGCGCCACCUGCCAGAUGAAGGAGCCUUUUGAGAGGCAGCUGGCAUCGUGAUUGGACUGUACUUUGGUCUGUUCCAAUCCAGCUUCAGCUCCAGAGACGGCAGGCGGGACGAGUCAACGGAGGCCUGGUGGACGAAGGCAUGCAGCUGAGUACAAUCCAGAAAGAGAC
ensembl:lncRNA